rnacentral:misc_RNA from 1 species
GAUGAAGAACGUAGCGAAAUGCGAUAAGUAAUGUGAAUUGCAGAAUUCAGUGAAUCAUCGAAUCUUUGAACGCACAUUGCGCCCGCCAGUAUUCUGGCGGGCAUGCCUGUUCGAGCGUCAUUUCAACCAUCAAGCCCCCGGCUUGUGUUGGGGACCUGCGGCUGCCGCAGGCCCUGAAAACCAGUGGCGGGCUCGCUGUCACACCGAGCGUAGUAGAUUUUCAUCUCGCUCAGGGCGUGCUGCGGGUUCCGGCCGUAAAAAGCCUUAUUUACCCAAGGUUGACCUCGGAUCAGGUAGGAAGACCCGCUGAACUUAAGCAUAUCAAUAAGCGGAAGA